rnacentral:rRNA from 1 species
UUAGAGUUUGAUCAUGGCUCAGGAUGAACGCUGGCGGCGUGCUUAACACAUGCAAGUCGAACGAACCUUCGGGUCAGUGGCGGACGGGUGAGUAACGCGUGAGAAUCUGCCCUCAGGAGGGGGAUAACGGUUGGAAACGACCGCUAAUACCCCAUAUGCCUACUGGUGAAAUGAAUUUCGCCUGAGGAUGAGCUCGCGUCUGAUUAGCUAGUUGGUGAGGUAAUGGCUCACCAAGGCUUCGAUCAGUAGCUGGUCUGAGAGGAUGAUCAGCCACACUGGGACUGAGACACGGCCCAGACUCCUACGGGAGGCAGCAGUGGGGAAUUUUCCGCAAUGGGCGAAAGCCUGACGGAGCAACGCCGCGUGAGGGACGAAGGCCUCUGGGCUGUAAACCUCUUUUCUCAAGGAAGAAGAUAUGACGGUACUUGAGGAAUAAGCCACGGCUAAUUCCGUGCCAGCAGCCGCGGUAAUACGGGAGUGGCACGCGUUAUCCGGAAUUAUUGGGCGUAAAGCGUCCGCAGGCGGCUUUUCAAGUCUGCUGUUAAAGCGUGGAGCUUAACUCCAUCAUGGCAGUGGAAACUGAAAGGCUUGAGUAUGGUAGGGGCAGAGGGAAUUCCCGGUGUAGCGAUGAAAUGCGUAGAUAUCGGGAAGAACACCAGUGGCGAAGGCGCUCUGCUGGGCCAUUACUGACGCUCAUGGACGAAAGCCAGGGGAGCGAAAGGGAUUAGAUACCCCUGUAGUCCUGGCCGUAAACGAUGAACACUAGGUGUCGGGGGAAUCGACCCCUUCGGUGUCGUAGCUAACGCGUUAAGUGUUCCGCCUGGGGAGUGCGCACGCAAGUGUGAAACUCAAAGGAAUUGACGGGGGCCCGCACAAGCGGUGGAGUAUGUGGUUUAAUUCGAUGCAACGCGAAGAACCUUACCAGGGUUUGACAUCCUGCGAACCUCUUAGAAAUUUGAGGGUGCCUUCGGGAAUGCAGUGACAGGUGGUGCAUGGCUGUCGUCAGCUCGUGUCGUGAGAUGUUGGGUUAAGUCCCGCAACGAGCGCAACCCACGUUUUUAGUUGCCAGCAUUUAGUUGGGCACUCUAGAAAGACCGCCGG